rnacentral:rRNA from 1 species
UACGUAGGGUCCGAGCGUUGUUCGGAAUCAUUGGGCGUAAAGAGCGCGUAGGCGGUCCGGUAAGUCGGUUGUGAAAACUGGGGGCUCAACCCUCAGAGGCCGACCGAUACUGCCGGGCUAGAGUCCGGAAGAGGCGAGUGGAAUUCCUGGUGUAGCGGUGAAAUGCGCAGAUAUCAGGAGGAACACCAAUGGCGAAGGCAGCUCGCUGGGACGGUACUGACGCUGAGACGCGAAAGCGUGGGGAGCGAACAGG